GCGGCUUCCCACCUGCACGCGCGCAGCUUCCUCCUCGGCCAGGCCCACCGGGUGGCCGCGGUGCGCACCCAGAACCGGGCAGAGCGCGCACACGCAACGGCCGCAGCGGCGACAAAAGAGCUCAGCCGGGCGUUCGCUGUGCUCCGGACAACGCCAGCCACACGCCCCGUCGGGCUGAACGGGCGCCCGCGCCUCGGCAGUCCUGCUCGUCAUUCUCAGUAGCAACCGCUGUGCAGUGUGGUCGGUAAAGAAGCCCUAAGAAAGUUCCCAUACGGUAACCCCCUCGGGAGUCAGGAUGAUUGGCCUCAGACACCACCCCGGCUCUCAGCCAUGUGGACAUUUUCCAUUGUCAGCGUCACUUGGAGGUACUGUUACUGGCAUACUGAACAAGGAACAGGGAUUCCAGAUAAUAGGACAUCGCUACCCAAGGCAAGCUAUUGUGCUUCAAGUUUAAGGACUCCCUGUUGAGAACCACCACUUGGACCAGGAGUUUGGGAGGAACAAGCUUGGCUGGGUGGGUUCACACCAAAGCCCCAGCUUCAGGUGGCCCUAGGGAGCUAGGAAGGAAGGGGGGCCAGUAUCUUCUCCACCCUGUGCCUUCAAGGACCCUAAGAUGUUUCCUGACCAUCCAUGGAGCUAAGCUUAGCAUAUCCCGUCUCCAGUAUCGGGGUCCCGAGAGCUGCCCCCCUCCUAUGCCAGACUGACCUUCCCCACAAUGUACAGCAUGCUGGUGUCCGAGUCGAAGAAGGGAAACAGCACACCAGAGGAGCCAUCCAGAUCCUCCUCCGUGAGGGGCACAGAAAGGUUUUCCUGCAAGGGAAGAGAGACAGUCACUUCUGGAGGAUCACUCCUGGAACCCCUGUUGGUCCUGCUGCCCUGGGUGUACGAGUGUGGUUGCUGUCUGAGAUGGAAGGCUUGCUGUUCUAUAGGACAUGUUUUGGGGAGAGGUCCGGGUCCUCAAGGCGGAGUCUGUGGAUUAUUCUCUGGAGGACAUGAUAUUUAUUUAGCACCGUCCCACCCCAUUUUGUCAGCAUUUUAGGCACUUUUUAAAAAAAAAUUUAUGUGUA